CGUAGGGUGCGAGCGUUGUCCGGAAUUAUUGGGCGUAAAGAGCUCGUAGGCGGUGUGUCGCGUCGGCCGUGAAAACCUGCAGCUUAACUGUGGGCUUGCGGUCGAUACGGGCAUCACUGGAGUUGGGCAGGGGAGACUGGAAUUCCUGGUGUAGCGGUGAAAUGCGCAGAUAUCAGGAGGAACACCGGUGGCGAAGGCGGGUCUCUGGGCCGAUACUGACGCUGAGGAGCGAAAGCGUGGGGAGCGAACAGGAUUAGAUACCCUGGUAGUCCACGCCGUAAACGUUGGGCGCUAGGUGUGGGGGCCAUUCCACGGUCUCUGUGCCGUAGCUAACGCAUUAAGCGCCCCGCCUGGGGAGUACGGCCGCAAGGCUA
rnacentral:rRNA from 1 species